UAGAUACUGGAGAAUCAGGUUAAUGGGGGUAGUUAGAUACUGGAGAAUCAGGGUAACGAGGGGAUAUGAGGAGCGAUUGGAGGUAGUUAGAUACUGGAGAAUCAGGUUAAUGGGGAGAGACGGGAGGUAGUUAGAUACUGGAUAAUUAAAUCAAAUCAAAUCAAAUUUAUUUAUAUAGCCCUUCGUACAUCAGCUGAUAUCUCAAAGUGCUGUACAGAAACCCAGCCUAAAACCCCAAACAGCAAGCAAUGCAGGUGUAGAAGCACGGUGGCUAGGAAAAACUCCCUAGAAAGGCCAAAACCUAGGAAGAAACCUAGAGAGGAACCAGGCUAUGUGGGGUGGCCAGUCCUCUUCUGGCUGUGCCGGGUGGAGAUUAUAACAGAACAUGGCCAAGAUGAUUAGGUUAAUGGGGAGAGAUGGGAGGUAGUUAGAUAUGAGGAGAGAUUGGAGGUAGUUAGAUACUGGAUAAUUAGGUUAAUGGGGAGAGAUGGGAGGUAGUUAGAUAUGAGGAGAGAUUGGAGGUAGAUACUGGAAAAUCAGGUUAACGGUGGGAUAUGAGGAGAGAUGGGAGGUAGUUAGAUACUGGAGAAUCAGGUUAAUGGGGAGAGAUGGGAGGUAGUUAGAUACUGGAGAAUCAGGUUAAUGGGGAGAGACGGGAGGUAGUUAGAAGAUAUAAAAUGUGAAGAUUUUAACACUGAUGCCAAAGACACACUUUGAAACACCUUCACGACAGAAGCUCAAGCAGAUGGAAAAUGUGAGAUUUGACUCUGAAAGAAAUGAAUGUUUUGUCCUGAAUAGAAUGUUGCCAUUUAUAUGUCAGAGCAAAAGCUCAGCAGGAAAAUACUGUAUUACUAGAUUGGGAAUCAAAACUGUCCCCUGGGAUAUUUUUGGCAGCACAACACCGUGUCAUCUGAAUGUUAAAUCGUGAUUUAUACUGUCUAUUUACAUUUAAUUCAGACAAGAGCUGAAAUAUUAGUAACAUGCUUGUCUCUAUGGUAAUAUACAGUAUAUUAUAAUGGUAACAUAUCAUGCUUGUCUCUAUGGUAAUAUACAGUAUAUUAUAAUAUUAGUAACAUAUCAUGCUUGUCUCUAUGGUAAUAUACGGUAUAUUAUAAUAUUAGUAACAUGCUUGUCUCUCUGGUAAUAUACAGUAUAUUAUAAUAUUAGUAACAUGCUUGUCUCUAUGGUAAUAUACAGUAUAUUAUAAUAUUAGUAACAUGCUUGUCUCUAUGGUAAUAUACAGUAUAUUAUAAUAUUAGUAACAUGCUUGUCUCUAUGGUAAUAUACAGUAUAUUAUAAUGGUAACAUAUCAUGCUUGUCUCUAUGGUAAUAUACAGUAUAUUAUAAUAUUAGUAACAUGCUUGUCUCAUUGGUAAUAUACAGUAUAUUAUAAUAUUAGUAACAUGCUUGUCUCUAUGGUAAUAUACAGUAUAUUAUAAUAUUAGUAACAUGCUUGUCUCUAUGGUAAUACAGUAUAUUAUAAUAUUAGUAACAUGCUUGUCUCUAUGGUAAUAUACAGUAUAUUAUAAUAUUAGUAACAUAUCAUGCUUGUCUCUAUGGUAAUAUACAGUAUAUUAUAAUAUUAGUAACAUAUCAUGCUUGUCUCUAUGGUAAUAUACAGUAUAUUAUAAUAUUAGUAACAUGCUUGUCUCUAUGGUAAUAUACAGUAUAUUAUAAUAUUAGUAUCAUGCUUGUCUCUAUGGUAAUACAGUAUAUUAUAAUAUUAGUAACAUGCUUGUCUCUAUGGUAAUAUACAGUAUAUUAUAAUAUUAGUAACAUGCUUGUCUCUAUGGUAAUAUACAGUAUAUUAUAAUGGUAACAUAUCAUGCUUGUCUCUAUGGUAAUAUACAGUAUAUUAUAAUAUUAGUAACAUGCUUGUCUCUAUGGUAAUAUACAGUAUAUUAUAAUAUUAGUAACAUAUCAUGCUUGUCUCUGGUAAUAUACAGUAUAUUAUAAUAUUAGUAACAUGCUUGUCUCUAUGGUAAUAUACAGUAUAUUAUAGCAUUAUAGAGAUAUAUGGAGUGCAGGACUAGGACUAUAGACAGUAUAUUAUAGCGUUAUGGAGAUAUAUGGAGUGCAGGACUAGGACUAUAGACAGUAUAUUAUAGCGUUAUGGAGAUAUAUGGAGUGCAGGACUAGGACUAUAGACAGUAUAUUAUAGCGUUAUGGAGAUAUAUGGAGUGCAGGACUAGGAGUAUAUACAAGCCAGCGUCACUGUAUUACAAUUAAUAGCUAUUGAGUUAAUGAAUAUAUUUAUUCCAUAUCAUGAUUAUGUCUUUCACUACUGUAGAGAGAGAAUUCUCCCCUUUAAAAACUUCUAGUAUGUGCUUGGCCAUUCUGAGCCUUAUGAGUCGAUGGUCUACCAUUCUGAGCCUUAUGAGUCGAUGGUCUACCAUUCUGAGCCUUAUGAAUGGAUGGUCUACCAUUCUGAGCCUUAUGAAUGGAUGGUCUACCAUUCUGAGCCUUGUGGAUGGAUGGUCUACCAUUCUGAGCCUUGUGGAUGGAUGGUCUACCAUUCUGAGCCUUGUGGAUG
ensembl:lncRNA